GGAGGUUUAGCUCAGUGGCUUAAGCACCUGCCUUGCACGCAGGCAGUCCUGAGUUCAAUCCCUGGUACCUAUA
rfam:Cavia porcellus supercont2_41 genomic scaffold, whole genome shotgun sequence.